rnacentral:lncRNA from 1 species
CAGAUGUACACCAGGCCUGGGUCACCCCUAACAGAAGAUACCCUAAAACUGAGAAAAACAGGCAAUUUUGGGAGUGAGUGAAAUGAGGAUGCCUUGGUGCCCACCUCUGCUGGCCUCCCACUGUGGGAACACCAGUCUUGUAUCCUGGGAAUUCUGUGGGCAGCUUCUGAAGCCAGUCUCCAUGGGAAGAAAACCUCCAGAGCGUGGAAGAUCUUGUGUUUGAAUCCUGAGCUCCUGAUCCCUGAGAUCCUUGAGAUGAGCUGGAGAUGGGCUCUGCCAUCAUCUGUUUGCAAUCACAAAGAGGAAGCUUCUGAAGCUUGGGAAUGAGAGAAAAUGAAGUGUCCUGACACAACUUCAAAACAUCCAGAAUGCUCUUGGAGGUUUUCCCAUCGCUGUUUCUGUCAGAUCUCCUCUGAAAACAGUCUCACUGAAGGGAGGUUCAGAUCAGCAACACGGACCAGAAGAGUGUCCAGAGAUCAGAACAGCAGUAGCAGUUGGCCUUGAGGAUGAAU